AUUGACUUGUACUCAUAAUGGCAUUCAAGGAACAAUAUCAGAGGGAGUAUAACAACUCCAGAAAGCAUAGCGAAAAACAUAAUCUUGGUCUCAGGUUCGUAUGAUCCUCUCAAUCUACGAUAUGGUGUGAAAGCCAUGAUGCUUCGCUAAGGGGAAAUUCUUCUCUUUCCGAGUGAGGAGUGGUGUUGUCUUCCUUGGUUCCCCUCUUUGGACACAGCUUCACUCGGGAUGCGUGAAUCCAGAUGUCGUGGGAAUCUGUGAGGACAGCGGUUCUGGUUACAGCAAUCACAGUAGCAGGUGGUCCGAAA